rnacentral:lncRNA from 1 species
UCAAACAAAUUUUAUUUCAAUUUGGUUGUUUCCCCCACUCUUAAGUAUUAUCAGUGUUUGAAAUUACCAAAUAUCAUCCAGUGUCAUUCCUUAUCAUGCAUGUGUAUUCUCUAUUUUCUUUUUUUUCAUACGAAUAGCCGUUAAAUAUUAUUUAGAACGUUGUGAAUUAACAUGCCAGGUAUGAGAUAUAAAUAUACACGGAAACAAUCAGGAAUGGAAUGCGCAAAUAAUAUGCCAU